rnacentral:tRNA from 1 species
GCCUGGGUGGCUCAGUCGGUUGAGCGUCCGACUUCGGCUCAGGUCAUGAUCUCACAGUUUGUGGGUUCGAGCCCCAUAUCAGGCU